GGGAAUAUUGCACAAUGGACGAAAGUCUGACGGAGCAACGCCGCGUGAGUGAGGAAGGCCUUCGGGUCGUAAAGCUCUGUCCUCAAGGAAGAUAAUGACGGUACUUGAGGAGGAAGCCCCGGCUAACUACGUGCCAGCAGCCGCGGUAAUACGUAGGGGGCUAGCGUUAUCCGGAAUUACUGGGCGUAAAGGGUGCGUAGGUGGUUUCUUAAGUCAGAGGUGAAAGGCUACGGCUCAACCGUAGUAAGCCUUUGAAACUGGGAAACUUGAGUGCAGGAGAGGAGAGUGGAAUUCCUAGUGUAGCGGUGAAAUGCGUAGAUAUUAGGAGGAACACCAGUUGCGAAGGCGGCUCUCUGGUCUGUAACUGACGCUGAGGUUCGAAAGCGUGGGUAGC
rnacentral:rRNA from 1 species